UACGAAGGGGGCUAGCGUUACUCGGAAUUAUUGGGCGUAAAGCGUGCGUAGGCUGUAGAGUAAGUUGGAAGUGAAAUCCUGGGGCUCAACCCCAGAACGGCUUUCAAUACUGCUUUACUAGAGUGUAGGAGGGGAUGACGGAAUUCCUAGUGUAGAGGUGAAAUUCGUAGAUAUUAGGAGGAACACCGGUGGCGAAAGCG
rnacentral:rRNA from 1 species